AUUGAACGCUGGCGGCAUGCCUUACACAUGCAAGUCGAACGGCAGCACGGGUGCUUGCACCUGGUGGCGAGUGGCGAACGGGUGAGUAAUAUAUCGGAACGUACCUUAUUGUGGGGGAUAACGCAGCGAAAGCUGUGCUAAUACCGCAUAAUCCCUAAGGGGGAAAGCGGGGGACCGUAAGGCCUCGCGCAAUUAGAGCGGCCGAUACCUGAUUAGCUAGUUGGUGAGGUAAGGCUCACCAAGGCAACGAUCAGUAGCUGGUCUGAGAGGACGAUCAGUCACACUGGGACUGAGACACGGCCCAGACUCCUACGGGAGGCAGCAGUGGGGAAUUUUGGACAAUGGGGGCAACCCUGAUCCAGCAAUGCCGCGUGAGUGAAGAAGGCCUUCGGGUUGUAAAGCUCUUUUGUCAGGGAAGAAACAGCAGCUCUAACACAGUAUGCGAAUGACGGUACCUGAAGAAUAAGCACCGGCUAACUACGUGCCAGCCGCCGCCGUAA
rnacentral:rRNA from 1 species